rnacentral:lncRNA from 1 species
UGCCCAGGGAGCUCCUCAGCCUGAUACCUGCCCCUUCCGUAUCUGAAUGCCUGUUAUUCAUCCGCUGCAGAAGCCGGGAGAUGCACAUAGUAGAAGAGUAGAUGAGAAGGCAGUCAGAAUCCAAAAUUUCUGUUGGCAAUGCUCUGACUUGAGUGGAACAAUCAAGAACAAAGAUGCUCUGGGAUGAAGGGGAUAAUCAAUCAAGAAGCAAAAGGGGACCUAAGGCAGCAUGGUUAAUAGCUCAUCACAAAUAUGGGGAGCUUAAUGUUUUGGAUGAUAUUUUGACUGAAGUACCAGAACAGGAUGAUGAACUGUAUAAUCCAGAGAGUGAACAAGAUAAAAAUGAGAAAAAAGGAUCAAAAAGGAAAAGUGAGAGAAUGGAGUCUACUGACACCAAGCGACAAAAACCUUCUAUCCAUUCAAGACAAUUGAUUUCUAAGCCACUAAGCUCAUCUGUAAGCAAUAAUAAAAGAAUAGUUAGUACAAAAGGAAAGUCGGUUACAGAAUAUAAAAAUGAGGAAUAUCAAAGAUCUGAAAGGAACAAGCGUCUGGAUGCUGAUCGAAAAAUUCGUCUGUCAAGCAGUUCCUCUAGAGAACCUUACAAGAGUCAACCAGAAAAAACUUGUCUACGGAAAAGGGAUUCUGAAAGAAGGGCCAAGUCUCCUACACCAGAUGGUUCUGAGAGAAUUGGGCUUGAAGUUGAUAGACGUGCAAGCAGAUCCAGCCAGUCUUCAAAGGAAGAGGUGAACUCUGAAGAAUAUGGUUCUGACCACGAGACAGGAAGCAGUGGUUCUUCUGAACAGGGCAACAACACUGAGAAUGAGGAGGAAGGAGGGGAAGAAGAUGUAGAGGAAGAUGAAGAGGUAGAUGAUGCAGAAGA